GCGGAAAUAGCUCAGUGGUAGAGCAUAACCUUGCCAAGGUUAGGGUCGCGAGUUCGAGUCUCGUUUUCCGCU
rnacentral:tRNA from 1 species